CCCUUAGAUGUUCUGGGCCGCACGCGCGCUACACUGACGGAUUCAACGAGCUUACAACCUUGGCCGAAAGGUCUGGGUAAUCUCCAAAAUCCGUCGUGAUGGGGAUAGAUUAUUGCAAUUAUUAAUCUUCAACGAGGAAUGCCUAGUAAGCGCAAGUCAUCAGCUUGCGUUGAUUACGUCCCUGCCCUUUGUACACACCGCCCGUCGCUCCUACCGAUUGAAUGGUCCGGUGAAACGUUUGGACUAUGGUUUUCUGAUGGUCCGCCGUUGGAUUACCGUGGGAAGUUCGUUAAACCUUAUCAUUUAGAGGAAGGAGAAGUCGUAACA
rnacentral:rRNA from 1 species